rnacentral:pre_miRNA from 1 species
AAUACAAUCGGACCGUCGCCGUCGGUCUACCGAGCAACAUCACCCGCUCCGUGGAAGAUCUUCCCUUUGUCGU